GACGAACGCUGGCGGCGUGCUUAACACAUGCAAGUCGAACGAUGAAGCUAGAGCUUGCUCUGGUGAAUUAGUGGCGAACGGGUGAGUAACACGUGAGUAACCCGCCCCGAACUCUGGGAUAACUGCUGGAAACGGUAGCUAAUACUGGAUACGACCUACGAAGGCAUCUUCUGUAGGUGGAAAGAAUUUCGGUUCGGGAUGGACUCGCGGCCUAUCAGCUUGUUGGUGAGGUAAUGGCUCACCAAGGCGACGACGGGUAGCCGGCCUGGGAGGGUGAACGGCCACACUGGGACUGAGACACGGCCCAGACUCCUACGGGAGGCAGCAGUGGGGAAUAUUGCACAAUGGGCGCAAGCCUGAUGCAGCAACGCCGCGUGAGGGAUGACGGCCUUCGGGUUGUAAACCUCUUUUAGUAGGGAAGAAGCGAAAGUGACGGUACCUGCAGAAAAAGCACCGGCUAACUACGUGCCAGCCGCCGCAGUAAAAC
rnacentral:rRNA from 1 species